GUGCACCAGGCGCGAAACCUUCGCAAUGCGGGAAACCGCGACGAGGGGACUCCCAGUGCCUACGCUCAGCGUAGGCUGUUCCCGAGCCUAGAAAGCUCGGGGAGUAAGGGCUGGGUAAGACGGGUGCCAGCCGCCGCGGUAAUACCCGCAGCCCGAGUGGUGGCCACUAUUAUUGGGCCUAAAGCGUCCGUAGCCGGCCCGGUAAAUGCCAGGGUAAAUCGUGAGGCCUAACCUCACGAAUUCCGGGUAGACUGCCGGGCUAGGGACCGGAGGAGGGAGAGGGUACUCCAGGGGUAGGGGUGAAAUCCUGUAAUCCCUGGAGGACCACCGGUGGCGAAGGCGCUCUCCUAGGACGGGUCCGACGGUGAGGGACGAAAGCCAGGGGAGCGAACCGGAUUAGAUACCCGGGUAGU
rnacentral:rRNA from 1 species